GCCUAUAGCCAUGCCACCCUGAACGUGCUGGAUCUCGUCUGAUCUCGGAAGCUAAGCAGGGUCGGGCCUGGUUAGUACUUGAAUGGGAGAACAUCUAGAAUACCAGGUGCUGUAGGCA
rnacentral:rRNA from 1 species